CUCCAUAACUUUUAACAUAUGACAUUGAAGACUCUUCAGGGUUGGGACCAUCACAGGAAAGGUUUUCUCAUUUUCACAGAUGGCAACAUUAUUGUUUUUGCAGAUGAGUUUGAGUCCUGAAGGAGCUGAGUGUCCUCUUCCUACAGAGAAAGUAUGGGUGGCCCCCACUGAGGUCUCACCUUCUGUGCAGUACUGGACAUCUGGCAGUGGGUUGAUGUGACCGAGAUCUGCAGGCAAGCAUACAGAAAGGAAGAAUCCAACACUAGCCAGUCUGAGACAAGAUCCUGGACCAAGCGGACCAUUGAUUUGUCUCAGUUCAGCACAUUUUCUGUAUCACAUUUAAAUUAUGACCCCCAAAGACUGUUUUACAAGCUAUUCUAGCUACAGAAGUGUUUUAAAAAAGCCCACAAAACUGACCUUUCUGUGUUCUGCCUUUGACACAUCUAGAUCUGAGUCCAUGGAAGAAGGAAUAGGAGGAAAAAAGCUGUUUCCAUUAAGAAGUCUUCUUAUUUCAGCUCUCUGACUUUUCACACAUCUUUAUCUAGCUGUGAAGAAUAGGGUAUGGCAUACAUAAAAACUGCAUUUAAAAGCCUGGUCAGCAUCUCCAACUAAGAGACUUAUCCUGCCACUGAAUCAACUAUGGAAAAAAGACACUGAACUCCAGAUGCCCGUGUGGAGGAGGAGUGUUUCCUUAUGAGAUGUUUAAACUAUAUUGCACUGCAGCAGUGCUUCCUGCUGAACACUGCCGCACACAGGCAGAACCAGGAGUUCAGGUGUACUUUGUAGACAUUCCCUGUCUAAUAAUGAUAGAAGUGGCUAUCAAAUCAAUGCUUCCUUGUAUGCUGUGUCCAUAUAAGCUUUGUCAUUCUUCAGGAACCUGUCAAGUUCAGGUCAGAUGUGCCUGCUGUUUUGCAUGGGGAAAAAUAUAUGUACUUCUUGCUGUUGUAUAACUUCAGUCUUUCAUAGAAAUAACCUUCACAGAAAAAUGGAAUGGGAUGUCACAACCAGAAUGAGAUGUUAAUAGUGAUAGUCCUAACAAGGUCCUCUGUAGUAUUAUUUAGGCUUCCAAUGUCCCUUGGAUUUUCUGUGUAGUUUGACUAAUUCCUGGACCUGUGCUCAGCCAUAGCAGCCUUUGCAACUUUUCAGCCAUGUGCUCUUAGAGGCAAGAAAAGGAAACUUAACAGAAGCAUGGGGCAGAACAACAUGGUGUUCCAUCCUGUUGAGAAGCUGUGCUUAUUCAAAUACCCAAAUUUCAAUAAAAUGGAUCUUUUAAUAGAA